CACUGGAAGUAGUUCACCAGAAACGGGUUUGAGUGUAACAGACUUCUAUUGGCUGAAUACAGGCCUGAAUAGUAAACAGAUGCAGUUCAUGGUGGAGGUGGAGGACAGGAGCAAAAUGAAAUGCUUUCUUUUUUCCGUCUGAAUGGGAACUGUUCCAUUUGUUGCUUCUGAAUCACGUCCACGGGGAACUAUCAAGGCUUGUUGCUCGGUUUGUCCCGGUCAUUUGCCUCUUUUUCGCUGCAGAGCUGCGUUUAAUUAUUCUACAGACGGCCCAUUUACAGAGAUAAUGAGAGAGAGAGAGCAAACGCAAGGGGAACUCUGCAUUGUUUGACACUUUAAACAAGAAAAGCAAAUCCUGCACGACAACCAUUUCCUUCCCCUCCAUAUGUGCUCCCUCAGGAGAAAUACAACUUCAAGAGUACUGGAAGCCCUAAUUGGUUACUGUAGGGCGGAGCUGUGGAUUAAUGAGGGUGCGGACAGACAUUAACUUAUUUGCCAAGCUCCCUUCCUUCCUGAAACGAGUAAAGACUCCUUGCAAGCUACAGCCCUGGAUAGAUCCAACUCUGCAUGACAGCAACGUGAGAGAAAUGAAAGUCCAUGAAGCGCUACAUAUUGUGUAGCUGUAUGCCGUGUGGGUUUAGGAGUAAUCUAAUAAAUACCUUCAGUAUUAACACACCAUUGGGUUUGCAUUAUAACAGCCGCCUCACUGCCGAUACAGUAGUUCACAGACACCGGCGUUGUGUCCCAAUCAUCUCGUUACAAGCAGACAACACAACUUGAUUCAGGCGAGCAAUUAUUUGAGGCAGCGGAGCCAAAACAGCAAGUGCGUUAUGAUGUGUGCGAGUUUUAACCACGGCCACGGCCGUUCUAUUAAUUCUGCUAAUCUUGUGUUUUCAGCGCAGUCAACCGACCGAUUCACAUUUUACUGCAAGAAAAAAUACACAAGGGUGUGUGUGUGUGAAUGAAUGCAUUAAAAAAAUGGGUAGUUUGCAGAUGUAGUAAAAUGUGAACAAACUAACAUCACGCUUCCUUUCGAAGUCAGACCAGUUAGUCUCCUUAUCAAUAAAAACCAAAUGCUACAGCGAACGGCAGCGCGCACGGAGCCGUUUGGUUAUUUUUGCACAGACUUCCAAAGAUACGGAACGUUGGCCCACGUUUCCAGCACCUUAACUCCCCAAAAAUGACUCUUAUCUCCCAAAUCCUACGCGAGGAGCUCCGCCCCCUUGUACGACUCGUGAGUGACAGCGCCGAUGUGACGUCAUGAGCCGUGACGCGGCAGAACGUCAGACCCGCGCAGCAGUUAUGGCAACAACAAUGAAGACACGUGCGGGUGUUUCAGAGGAAGCGGCUUCGCGAUGCGUUUAUGAAAAAUAACUUUAGGACCAUUUUGCACGUUACGUUUCUAACUGUAGAGACACGGUCGGUCAUCGCGGGGAGGUUUGAUUUGCGCGCUCUUGUGGUUUGAAAUCCGGCUUGUUCUCAACAAGUAAAACAUAUUUAUAUCAAACUUAUUAAUGAACCCUUUUGUUUCUUUUGUUGCCAUGGGUGAUUUAUCCAAUGGUAUAAAUAAACAUUUUUCGGCAUUGUGUUUUAUUCAUGGUAGAUCAAUCUUCCUCUAAGUCAUUUAAAAUACAGGUUAAUCUUAGCAAUUACAGUAAAAACGAAAAAAAAAGAAGCAUCAAAUGAAAUGUAUGAUUAAUAUCAACAGCAUGUAUCCCCCAAACACCAAUGACAACAGUCAUUUUCCUUACAGGUGCAGUUGGAUAUAUUGAAUAUUAUUAAAUCAAACCACAAAUCAGAAAACAAACGUGUUGGGACUUGUUUCAAAGUUCUACAACAAGACAAUACACAACCAGUAAAUAAAAGCAAGGAGAGACUUUAAUCUCUUUUUUAUUAAUUCUGACACACUCUGGUCAGAUAGAAAAGUACGAGUUACACCUUUCAAAUUGCUUCCAUGACUUGUGCAAACACUAGACGGUAUCUGGGGAAAAAAACUCUUCUGAAGGAGGAAAAAAACAAAUAGACAUCAAAAUGCAGAAGAAAUGAAUAAGUGCAUUUAAACCUAUGUAUUGAUUCUUUAUGCAGUAUUUAUUGAUUCCCAGCUUCAUAUAAACUGGCUGUUGAGGCAUAAACAUAGUACAUUUGAACAAAAAUAUAACCAAUAUUUACAAUUAUUGUAUUAAAAAUACAAAAACAACCGAUACGUACUCCACCGAUUGUCUUUUUAAAAGACAUACAGGUCAAAGUAGUGAAAGAAGAAAUGAAGAAAAGAAAGUCAUCACCAGCUAAAUGUACAUUUCUCACUGACAUCACACAUCCGACGGGGUAGCAGUUCUCCCUCCCACACUUAUCUUUACGCUUGUACAUAUUUGUGCAACUUUUUGUUUUUCGAAACGGGACUCGGCCCGCUAAUAUGCACACUAUCUUCAGAGUUGAAUGAUGCACCCCUGUGUUACAACCAAAUUAUCAACAAUCUAUCCGCAGCCAUUACAAAAGAAUUACACUAACAAGAGGAACCCGAGGAAUCCAUUGGUGUUUAGUGACAGAGCGGGG
ensembl:lncRNA